rnacentral:rRNA from 1 species
UACAGAGGUGCUCAAGCGUUUGUUCGGAUUCAUUGGGGCGUAAAGGGUGCGUAGGCGGCGCGGUAAGUCGGGUGUGAAAUCUCGGAGCUUAACUCCGAAACUGCAUUCGAUACUGCCGUGCUUGAGGACUGGAGAGGAGACUGGAAUUUACGGUGUAGCGGUGAAAUGCGUAGAUAUCGUAAGGAAGACCAGUGGCGAAGGCGGGUCUCUGGACAGUUCCUGACGCUGAGGCACGAAGGUCAGGGGAGCAAACGGG